GACGAACGCUGGCGGCGUGCUUAACACAUGCAAGUCGAGCGGUAAGGCCCUUUCGGGGUACACGAGCGGCGAACGGGUGAGUAGCACGUGGGUGACCUGCCCUCAGCUCUGGGAUAAGCCCGGGAAACUGGGUCUAAUACCGGAUAUGACUUCAUGACGCAUGUUGUGGAGUGGAAAGCCUUGUGCGGCUGAGGAUGGGCCCGCGGCCUAUCAGCUUGUUGGUGGGGUGAUGGCCUACCAAGGCGACGACGGGUAGCCGGCCUGAGAGGGCGACCGGCCACACUGGGACUGAGAUACGGCCCAGACUCCUACGGGAGGCAGCAGUGGGGAAUCUUGCGCAAUGGGCGAAAGCCUGACGCAGCGACGCCG
rnacentral:rRNA from 1 species